UUCCCUGUGAGUGUGGGCUGGGCCGAGUGCGCUGUUUCUUACAAACAAAAUAUUGUGUCCAACACUCUGAGACUCGGUCACAAAAGUCACCGUGGCCUCCCUGCUCUCUCUCAGAUCACUCACUCUGGAGGAAGCCAGCUGCCGUGUUUCGAGAACACCCAAGGAGCCCAGGUGGCGAGGAACUAAAGCCUCCAGCCGAGAGCCAUGUGGGCGGGGCUUCUCCAGUCAUCACGAUUCCGUUUUGAGAGGCGCUCUCUCUGCCUGCCGUGUGGACAAUGGACGAAACGGCAGAGGUGAACGUACGCCCCCUUGGGAAGCAGCCACUGCCGUCAUCCACGACCCGAGGAGGGUGAGAGGUGCUGCCUGGUAUGUCUGGAAGGCUUCCUGAAAGAGGAGGUAUGGAUGAUGUGGCUUUGAAGAAGACAGAAGCCAAAGAUCUGAGAAGGGGGAGAAGAAUAAGAAUCUGGCGUGACAUCAGGGAAGUCGUUCCUUCGUUCCUGGCCGCGCGGAGCCUGGUGGGCCAGGAACGUGCUCCCGACCCAUGCAGGAGGCUUGCACGAAGUAGGAGACGUGGCCAAUUUUGCUGGCGAAGGUAGAAGGAAGCCUGGGAGGAAAUAACAAAUGAAUACGCAAAAACAGCCACAGACCCUAACAUUCCUGCCACACUGGGAGCGCCUGUCAUCGUGCCAGGAGGCCAGAGGCCUGGGUGGGAAGAG